rnacentral:rRNA from 1 species
UACGGAGGGCGCAAGCGUUGUUCGGAAUCAUUGGGCGUAAAGCGCGUGUAGGCGGCCAAUUAAGUCGGAUGUGAAAGCCCGGGGCCCAACCCCGGAACUGCAUUCGAUACUGAUUGGCUGGAGUCCCGGAGAGGAAGGCGGAAUUCCCGGUGUAGAGGUGAAAUUCGUAGAUAUCGGGAGGAACAUCAGUGGCGCAGGCGGCCUUCUGGACGGUGACUGACGAUGAGACGCGAAAGCGUGGGGAGCAAACAGG